GAUGAACGCUGGCGGCGUGCCUAAUACAUGCAAGUCGAGCGAACAGAUGAGGAGCUUGCUCCUUUGACGUUAGCGGCGGACGGGUGAGUAACACGUGGGUAACCUACCUAUAAGACUGGGAUAACUUCGGGAAACCGGAGCUAAUACCGGAUAAUAUUUCGAACCGCAUGGUUCGAUAGUGAAAGAUGGCUUUGCUAUCACUUAUAGAUGGACCUGCGCCGUAUUAGCUAGUUGGUAAGGUAACGGCUUACCAAGGCAACGAUACGUAGCCGACCUGAGAGGGUGAUCGGCCACAAUGGAACUGAGACAAGGUCCAGACUCCUACGGGAGGCAGCAGUAGGGAAUCUUCCGCAAUGGGCGAAAGCCUGACGGAGCAACGCCGCGUGAGUGAUGAAGGUCUUCGGAUCGUAAAACUCUGUUAUUAGGGAAGAACAAACGUGUAAGUAACUGUGCACGUCUUGACGGUACCUAAUCAGAAAGCCACGGCUAACUACGUG
rnacentral:rRNA from 1 species